UGCGAGUCACAUAGCAAUAUGUGGCAUACGGCUCAGUAACACGUAGUCAACAUGCCCAGGGGACGUGGAUAACCUCGGGAAACUGAGGAUAAACCGCGAUAGGUCAUUUCUUCUGGAAUGGGUAAUGACCCAAAUCUACAUGGCCCCUGGAUUGGACUGCGGCCGAUCAGGCUGUUGGUGAGGUAAUGGCCCACCAAACCUGUAACCGGUACGGGCUCUGAGAGGAGGAGCCCGGAGAUGGGCACUGAGACAAGGGCCCAGGCCCUAUGGGGCGCAGCAGGCGCGAAACCUCUGCAAUAGGCGAAAGCUUGACAGGGUUACUCUGAGUGAUUUCCGUUAAGGAGAUCUUUUGGCACCUCUAAAAAUGGUGCAGAAUAAGGGGUGGGCAAGUCUGGUGUCAGCCGCCGCGGUAAUACCAGCACCCCGAGUGGUCGGGACGUUUAUUGGGCCUAAAGCAUCCGUAGCCGGUUCUACAAGUCUUCCGUUAAAUCCACCUGCUUAACAGAUGGGCUGCGGAAGAUACUAUAGAGCUAGGAGGCGGGAGAGGCAAGCGGUACUCGAUGGGUAGGGGUAAAAUCCGUUGAUCCACUGAAGACCACCAGUGGCGAAGGCGGCUUGCCAGAACGCGCUCGACGGUGAGGGAUGAAAGCUGGGGGAGCAAACCGGAUUAGAUACCCGGGUAGUCCCAGCUGUAAACGAUGCAGACUCGGUGAUGAGUUGGCUUAUUGCUAACUCAGUGCCGCAGGGAAGCCGUUAAGUUUGCCGCCUGGGGAGUACGGUCGCAAGACUGAAACUUAA
rnacentral:rRNA from 1 species